GAUGAACGCUGGCGGCGUGCCUAAUACAUGCAAGUCGAGCGAACAGACGAGGAGCUUGCUCCUCUGACGUUAGCGGCGGACGGGUGAGUAACACGUGGAUAACCUACCUAUAAGACUGGGAUAACUUCGGGAAACCGGAGCUAAUACCGGAUAAUAUAUUGAACCGCAUGGUUCAAUAGUGAAAGACGGUUUUGCUGUCACUUAUAGAUGGAUCCGCGCCGCAUUAGCUAGUUGGUAAGGUAACGGCUUACCAAGGCAACGAUGCGUAGCCGACCUGAGAGGGUGAUCGGCGACACGGGAGCUGAGACAGGGUCCAGACUCCUACGGGAGGCAGCAGUAGGGAAUCGUCCGCAAUGGGCGAAAGCUUGACGGAGCAACGCCGCGUGAGUGAUGAAGGUCUUCGGAUCGUAAAACUCUGUUAUGAGGGAAGAACAAAUGUGUAAGUAACUAUGCACGUCUUGACGGUACCUAAUCAGAAAGCCACGGCUAACUACGUG
rnacentral:rRNA from 1 species